UACGUAGGGAGCAAGCGUUGUCCGGAAUCAUUGGGCGUAAAGCGCGCGUAGGCGGCCCGAUAAGUCCGCUGUGAAAGUCCACGGCUCAACUGUUGGAUGCCGGUGGAUACUGUCGGGCUAGAGUACGGAAGAGGCAAGUGGAAUUCCUGGUGUAGCGGUGGAAUGCGCAGAUAUCAGGAGGAACACCUAUAGCGAAGGCAGCUUGCUGGGACGUUACUGACGCUGAGGCACGAAAGCGUGGGGAGCAAACAGG
rnacentral:rRNA from 1 species